UACGUAGGUGGCAAGCGUUGUUCGGAAUUAUUGGGCGUAAAGGGCGCGUAGGCGGUUUGUUAAGUCGGUCGUGAAAGCCCGGGGCUCAACCCCGGAGGGUCGACCGAUACUGGCAGACUAGAGUACAGAAGAGGUAACUGGAAUUCCCGGUGUAGAGGUGAAAUUCGUAGAUAUCGAGAGGAACACCGGUGGCGAAGGCGGCCUUCUGGACGAUUACUGACGCUGAGACGCGAAAGUGUGGGGAGCAAACAGG
rnacentral:rRNA from 1 species